rnacentral:lncRNA from 1 species
GUGGAGGAAAGCAUGUGCAGUAGUUGGCUGCAAAAAUAGUAAACCGCAUAUUAAGGAAUGAAAUGAAUCUUUAUGAAUAGCCCCAGUAUUCAUAAAUGCAUCUUAACUUGAUCUAAAUAAUGCCUGGCAUGAAUGCGCCCAGGACGCUCAUUUCGUUUCCUUCGGCGCAUUCACGACAGGCGACAUUUAAAUCAAGCGUGUGGUCCAAGC